UUUAACUUCACUCCUUUCCCGUAUAUGAAGUCACAUAUUACAAUACUGAUUAAUUGCACAGGCUAAGAAAAAUUACUUUAUUCACAUAUACGAAGUGAAUAUUUGCAAAAGAUGUAUGAGAAUCUGGAGGUAAUUAAUAUAUUGGAGUGGCAGAAUGAACUCCCCAACUUGGAUGAGAAUAUUCGUUUUAACCGAUGGUUACUGUCAUUAACCAUUUGCUAAUAAACUUCUAACCACGUUAUUUGCCUCGUCGAAGGAAUUUAGCUAAAGCUUAAUUAUAGGUUAGCUUGGAGCCAGUUUUACAUUUAGCAGCAUUAAGAGCGACAAUGGAAUCAAGAGAUUCUACCCUCAUCUUCAAAAAAAAAAA
rnacentral:lncRNA from 1 species